GGAUAUGAGGGUGAUAUGACUGCAAUACCUUUUACCCCAUUGAUCACCAGAAGUUGAUUGGGCUGAUCUGGCUGACUAGGUGGGUGUCUGCUUCCUCCCUUACUGCUCCACGUGCAUCUGUUUUGAGCUCAGUCCAAGAGGAUGAUCUUCCCCAAAUAGAAACAGAUUGGUCUUUGGUGAAAGAUGUAUGAGUAGCUGAGCUCCCCUUCUAUAACCUCCAAACAAGCUCUCAAGAUAUAAAACAGAACAAAUUGUUAAAUAAUCAGGAACCUAAAGGUAAGAAUAGAGCAGAUGAGAUUUGGGGCCUUCAUGUUGGAAGAAGCUAGGAAGUCUAUUUUA
rnacentral:snRNA from 1 species